GGAGAAAGCUGCAGGCAGAACCCAGAUUGUUUGCACAAUGCAAAGAGAGAAGGUAACUCGUAUACGUGUCCGAAUUAGCCUGGAGUAUAAGCUAUGACCUCGUUUGAGCUUUUGUCUCACCUGUGAGCUUGAACUCUGACUGUACAGCAUUGCAGGUGAGCAUGGCUUUCUUUACCAGUAAGCUUCCUCCUAAACAAGCCUGCAUUCAGGGUUGUUCAUGGUGGUCCUCCUGACCUUUAUGGAUUGGGUGAUGGUGGGGUUACCCAAGUCCAUAUCAUUGACAGUUCUGCUAUAGUUCCUUUUCCCAGCCUAGUUUUCUGAGGCUAGAGAGUACCCAUGUGGGCCUCAAAAUAUGGGGUUUUGUCACGUAGCUGAACUCUGGAAGGGCAUACUUAGGCAGGAUCAUAGAGAGCUGGGAUUCAAGCACUGUGCUUCCUGGUCCGAGCCCCAAUGAUCAUCUUCUGUGAGGCCCCGGGCAUGUCAUCGUAAGACUGGUUGCCUUCAUGAGGCUCCUGAGGCUGUGCAGCCCCAGGGGGCUGGGAGGACAUCUUUAGACUCUGUGCUGUGUGAUAAAUCCUCCACAGCCUGGUGUGAGGAAGUUCGGAGCAAGUAUUUCCCCUUUGGCCGCUUCGUCUGGAGAAAGAUGUGUUGACUUAAAGGCACAGUUGGAGGCUCUGGAGAUGUGUAACUGGGGAAUUCAAGGCUGAUCCGAGUCAGCUCUCCUUACUGUAGGUUUCCCAGGAUGGGACUGAAGAAGGAGGCAGCAUGGUUUCCUCUGCAGCACUCUGUGGAUGGACGGAUGCUAACACAGUCAGUCCGGGGGCGGGGGGCGGGGGGGAGAGAAAUCUGAAGGGAGCUACUCGAGAGCAUAGCAGCAGGCUUUUGUGCCCCUCGAAGACCAGAAGGAAGCAGAAAGCUUCCCAAAAGGUCAAGUUUGCCUCUAGCGAGAGCCCUUCUUAAUUUUUAUUUAUCCUAACUCUCCCUGGAUCAGAGACAAAGCAAUUACUAAUGUCUCCGUGAGGGGUUACCAGUACAAGGAGCUGGUUUUUCAAUCAGUUUUGACACAGAGAUAGAGAGGUAGUUUAUGUUGGAGGCGGAAAGGGGCCCUCUGUUCACUUUAAGAUUCAGAGUGUGGAUCAACUCCAAAGGGGGCCGUUUAAGUUGAAAGAAGCCAAGUUAAGUUUGGCCUCUUGCCUGGAAUCACUUGAAUUCUGAAACUUUACUGCGACAGACAUGUGCGUUGUCACAUUUUCCAUUGCUUAAUCCUGGUUUGGUGCAAGUCUGUCUGCGCCUCUUACAAAGUGAUGUAUAUACUUCCUUCCAACACGUCGAGUUGUAGACAAUUGUCUGUUGUAUUUAAUGGUUUGUAAUUUUCACAUUUUUUUAAUUUAAAUAAACACAUUUUCGCUGAGAAGU
rnacentral:lncRNA from 1 species